GACGAACGCUGGCGGCGUGCUUAACACAUGCAAGUCGAACGGAAAGGCCCUGCGUUUGUGGGGUGCUCGAGUGGCGAACGGGUGAGUAACACGUGAGUAACCUGCCCUUGACUUUGGGAUAACUUCAGGAAACUGGGGCUAAUACCGGAUAGGAGCUCCUCUUGCAUGGUGGGGGGUGGAAAGUUGAGGCUGUCGGGGAUGGACUCGCGGCUGAUCAGCUUGUUGGUGGGGUAGUGGCAUACCAAGGCUGGGACGGGUAGCCGGCCUGGGAGCGUGACCGGCCACCUUGGGACUGCGGUACGGAGCAGACUCGUACGGGGGACAGUAGUGGGGAAUAUUGUCCAGUGGGCGCACGCGUGAUGCAGAAGCGCCGCGUGCGGGAUGCCGGCCUUCGGGUUGUAAAAAGCUUUAGCCUGUGACGAAGCGUGAGUGACGGUAAUGGGUGAAGAAGCACCGGCUAACUACGUG
rnacentral:rRNA from 1 species